rnacentral:rRNA from 1 species
UACGAAGGGGGCUAGCGUUGCUCGGAAUCACUGGGCGUAAAGGGUGCGUAGGCGGGUCUUUAAGUCAGGGGUGAAAUCCUGGAGCUCAACUCCAGAACUGCCUUCGAUACUGGAAAGCUCGAGUCCGGGAGAGGUGAGUGGAACUGCGAGUGUAGAGGUGAAAUUCGUAGAUAUUCGCAAGAACACCAGUGGCGAAGGCGGCUCACUGGCCCGGUACUGACGCUGAGACGCGAAAGCGUGGGGAGCAAACAGG